ensembl:lncRNA
AAAGUGCUGGGAUUACAGGUGUGAGCCACCGCGCCCAGCCUGCUCUAGCAUCUUAAGACAAAUUCCUUUCUUAGGUAUUACCUAGAGAGUGAUGAAAACAGCCUUCCCUGGCUCUCAGCUGGGGCCUCAGAGGCAGGCGGAAAGCUGUUCUGAGACCCUUACCUCUGAAUGUCUCAAUUCCAGUAGUUUUAAAUCUCAGCCAUAAAAUCACAAAAAAAGUGUGCUUUUUUUUUUUGCACUGGAUGUGUAUAUUCAGUGAUUUAGUGAUCCAUCCCAUGACCUAGUAUUGCUAUUGCUGUUGAACGUGUAAUUCUCUACUUGCAGAUGGGCUUUGUUUUUCAUCGGUCUCCUAGGCUUUAAGUGGAGAAUGUUUCAUGAAAUAGCAUAAAGAACAGGUGCUCAGGACUCAUGAAGCAAUUAGGAGCGAGAUCCAGGUUAUCAUCCAACAAAGAGGCAUCCUCCAGGGCUGGGAGUUGAGAGAAGCUGAGUGAAGAGCUGAAUUUGGCUCCUAGUUUCAUGGGCAUUAAGUUAAACUAAAAUUAGUAGUGUGCAUUGUGGAACGUGUGAAACACAGGGAGAAAAAUCACAUGUAGUUCAAGACCAGUGCUGGAGGGCCUUGGCAAAGCUUCUGGAAAAUGGGUGUGGCUAGGGUUGGUUCUGUGGUCUCAGGUCCACAACCUGACCGGCCAUGGACAAUUAACCCAAGUCCUAGGCUGCCUGCCAAGUGGUUUGCUAGACCCUGGGUAGUUGCAAUAUGAGGACCUGCCUAAACUCUUAGCAAGUUAUGUUCUUUCUAAUUGAAAGGUCACUGACUUGUCCUGAGGGAGAGAAACCUCCAGAGCCAGCACAUAAGCAAGCUGCCAUGCGUUCUACAGCUGCAAGGAAAUUACUUCUGUCAACAACCCAAGGGAGCUUGGCAAUAGAAAUCUUUCCGUGUUGAGUUCACUGAUGAGACAAAGCCCAGGUCAACAUCAUGAUUUCAGCUCGGUGAGAAGCCCUCAGAGAACUUGCUAAGCUGUGCUUGAACUACUGAUCCACAGAAACUAUGAGAUAAUACAUGGGUGUCUUUUAAAGCCACUGCGUUUGUGGUAAUUUGUUACAAAGCAAUAGAGCACUAAUCCAGACUUGGGCCUAGAUUUUCAAUUUUAUUUUUUAGAAAGUCAAAUGGAGCAAGGCUAUGUGCAUUAGCCCUUCUGGUGGGAGGGGCAGGGCAAUGAGGAUCAAGAAUGCACUUGUCACAUACACAUUUCUGCAGCUAGAUGCCAAUCCAGGCUCUUCUUAUUUGUGAAUAUGUCUCCAUAGGGCUGGAUGGCUAGUAUGGCCUAGUCUCUGAUUCCAAAAUUACCACGUGAUUAGGAAGCCAAUCUUCCUAAUCUUUUCAGUGGAAUAACUGAAAAAUGUCAUCCAUCCAAGUCCAUACUUCCAAAGCAAGGACUAAACUCACAUUAGGUAUGCAUCCAUCUAUUUUCUUUUGAGACAGAGUCUCGCUCUGUUGCCCAGGCUGGAGUGCAGUGGUGUGAUCUUAGCUCACCGCAACAUUGCCUCCCAGGUUCAACUAAUUCUCCUGCCUCAGCCUCCCAA